rnacentral:rRNA from 1 species
UACAGAGGUCUCAAGCGUUGUUCGGAUUCAUUGGGCGUAAAGGGUGCGUAGGUGGCGUCGUAAGUCAGGUGUGAAAUCUCGGGGCUCAACCCCGAAACUGCACUUGAUACUGCGAUGCUCGAGUACUGGAGAGGAGAUUGGAAUUUACGGUGUAGCAGUGAAAUGCGUAGAUAUCGUAAGGAAGACCAGUGGCGAAGGCGAAUCUCUGGACAGUUACUGGCACUGAGGCACGAAGGCCAGGGGAGCAAACGGG